rnacentral:rRNA from 1 species
UACGUAGGGUGCAAGCGUUAUCCGGAAUUAUUGGGCGUAAAGAGCUCGUAGGCGGUUUGUCGCGUCUGCUGUGAAAACUGGAGGCUCAACCUCCAGCCUGCAGUGGGUACGGGCAAACUAGAGUGCGGUAGGGGAGAUUGGAAUUCCUGGUGUAGCGGUGGAAUGCGCAGAUAUCAGGAGGACACCGAUGGCGAAGGCAGAUCUCUGGGCCGUAACUGACGCUGAGGAGCGAAAGCAUGGGGAGCGAACAGG